rnacentral:rRNA from 1 species
CGGAUGCGAUCAUACCAGCACUAAAGCACC